UGCGAAGGGGGCUAGCGUUGCUCGGAAUCACUGGGCGUAAAGCGCACGUAGGCGGAUCGUUAAGUCAGGGGUGAAAUCCUGGAGCUCAACUCCAGAACUGCCUUUGAUACUGGCGAUCUUGAGUUCGGGAGAGGUGAGUGGAACUGCGAGUGUAGAGGUGAAAUUCGUAGAUAUUCGCAAGAACACCAGUGGCGAAGGCGGCUCACUGGCCCGAUACUGACGCUGAGGUGCGAAAGCGUGGGGAGCAAACAGG
rnacentral:rRNA from 1 species